rnacentral:lncRNA from 10 species
GGAGUGGUGGGGGCGGGGCUGGCACCCAACAAGUGCACCAUAAAUAUCUGUUGGCUGGAUACAUGAACAAAUGGAAUUAAAUAAAUUGGCCUAAUUCUGUUACCCAGACUGGCCCCCGUGACUCUAGACUUCUAGCCUGGUAAGUUCCUUGAACACAGACACUGCGUUUUUUAAUCUCUGUAACACCAUUGCCCAUCCCCAGCUCAUUGACAGGCACGGAGUGCCCAAUAUGUGCUUGUGGUCUGAAUGCUGACUGUUUUCGAGGUCAAGCAAUUCCGUCGGUAGCUUGCUAUUUUUCCGAAGUUUACACGCAGGUGGAAUCUUAUUGCUCCUUUGUCUCUGCCCCCAUUUCAUGAGGAGAUCACUCUAGAGACAGAGUCUUGCUAUGCUGCCCAGGCUGGACUCGAACUUCUAGACUCGAGCAAUUCUCAUGCCUCAGCCUCCCAAGUGGCUGAGACUAUAGGCAUGCCACCACACCCAGCUCUUUUGAUGUAAUUUUUAUCCCAUCAAAGUUUUGUCAUCUUGCUUUUAAAAAAUUAUCACAUGCAUUCUCUCUUGUUAUUGAGCCUCCUUCUACAACUGGCUGUCUAAUGGCUGCAGCAUUUUUAUUGUAUGGAGAAACUAUACCUCAUGCAAAACUCUCUCAUUGAAAGCGUUCACAUAGUUCCUAAUGUUUCUUUAUUAUACAGAUGGCCCUGGGCUCACAGUGGUUUGAGUUACGAUUUUUCUAGUUUAUGAUUGGCAUAUUGGGAUAUUAAAUGUAUUUUCAACUUUCAAUAUUUUUGACUUGCCAUGGGUUUUUCGGGACAUAACCCCAUCGUAAGUUGAGGCUCAUCUGUAAACAGUUUUGAAAAGAACAUCCUUUGGGAUUUUUAAACCUCAGGGCCCUCUGGAAGCUGUAGGCUAAUGGGACUGGCCCACAGCUUUCCUACUCUACUUCAUUACCACACUGGGUUUCAAAGAAUCAGCUGGUAUAGACAGGAAAUACAACUUACAUAUUUUUUUCUUAUAAGGUUUCAAUGUUAUCUCCUCCUGCUGCUGCUUCUCUCUCUGCCAUAAAACUUAUUUUAAAGACAUGGAAAAUUAUAUGCACUUGAGUUAAAUACAAAACCACAAGUGACUAUAGCUUGAUAAGUGGUCUUUGGGAAAUUUAUGAGCCAAAAUCUGUGUCAUAAAUUGAUAGCACUCCAGCUAACAAAAGAUUGACAAUAAAACUUACUGUAAAUAAAACCAUCUAAAUCUUGAGUAUGAAUAAAGUCCAUUAGUU